UACAGAGGGUGCAAGCGUUUGUUCGGAAUUAUUGGGCGUAAAGCGCGCGCAGGCGGCCUUUUAAGUCUGAUGUGAAAGCCCACGGCUCAACCGUGGAAGGUCAUUGGAAACUGAAAGGCUUGAGUACAGAAGAGGAAAGCGGAAUUCCACGUGUAGCGGUGAAUGACGUAGAGAUGUGGAGGAACACCAGUGGCGAAGGCGGCUUUCUGGUCUGUAACUGACGCUGAGGCGCGAAAGCGUGGGGAGCAAACAGG
rnacentral:rRNA from 1 species